CAGUAGCGUAUAUUUAAGUUGUUGCAGUUAAAAAGCUCGUAGUCGGAUUUUGGCUGAGAACGAUCGGUCCGCCGUUAGGUGUGCACUGAUUGGUCUCAGCUUCCUGGUGAGGAGGUGUGCUUCACGGCCACUUAGUCACCGUGGUUACUUUGAAAAAAUUAGAGUGUUCAAAGCGGGCUUACGCUUGAAUAUAUUAGCAUGGAAUAACACCAUAGGACUCCUGUCCUAUUUCGUUGGUCUCGGGACGGGAGUAAUGAUUAAGAGGGACAGUCGGGGGCAUUCGUAUUUCAUUGUCAGAGGUGAAAUUCUUGGAUUUAUGAAAGACGAACUACUGCGAAAGCAUUUGCCAAGGAUGUUUUCAUUAA
rnacentral:rRNA from 1 species